rnacentral:tRNA from 1 species
AGAAAUUUUUGUAUUAUAAGGUUUUGAAAGCCUUGACGGGAGAAAAUUUCUCCACCUG